rnacentral:misc_RNA from 1 species
GAUGAAGAACGUAGCGAAAUGCGAUAAGUAGUGUGAAUUGCAGAAUUCAGUGAAUCAUCGAAUCUUUGAACGCACAUUGCGCCCGCCAGUAUUCUGGCGGGCAUGCCUGUUCGAGCGUCAUUUCAACCCUCAAGCCCCCGGGCUUGGUGUUGGGGAUCGGCGUGCCCUCGCGGCGCGCCGUCCCCUAAAUCUAGUGGCGGUCUCGCUGUAGCUUCCUCUGCGUAGUAGCAACACUCGCACUGGAUCGCAGCGCGGCCACGCCGUUAAACCCCCCACUUCUGAAAGUUUGACCUCGGAUCAGGUAGGAAUACCCGCUGAACUUAAGCAUAUCAAUAAGCGGAGGA